GACGAACGCUGGCGGCGUGCCUAAUACAUGCAAGUCGAGCGAAUGACGAGAAGCUUGCUUCUCUGAUUUAGCGGCGGACGGGUGAGUAACACGUGGGCAACCUGCCCUACAGAUCGGGAUAACUCAGGGAAACCUGGGCUAAUACCGGAUAAUCCUUCGAAUCACAUGUUUUGAAGUUGAAAGGCGCUUCGGCGGCACUGUAGGAUGGGCCCGCGGUGCAGUAGCUAGUUGGCGGGGUAACGGCCAACCAAGGCAACGAUGCAUAGCCGACCUAAGAGGGUGAUCGGCCACAUUGGGACUGAGACACGGGCCAGACUCCGACGGGGGGCAGGAGGAGUGAAUCUUGCACGAUGGGCUGAAGUCUGAUGGAGCAACGCCGCGUGAGUGAUGAAGGUUUUCGGAUCGUAAAACUCUUUUGUAAGGGAAGAACAAGUACGUUAGGAAAUGAACGUACCUUGACGGUACCUUAUUAGAAAGCCACGGCUAACUACGUGCCAGCAGCCGCCGUAA
rnacentral:rRNA from 1 species